CGCAGGUUGGCCGCGGGCGCGCGGGGUCCGGCGGGAGUCCCGGGGUGGUCCCCGCGUGGGGCCGGGGGCGUCCGCGCGGGCGGGGCGAGGUCGGGGAGGGCAGCUGCCCGCCCUCCUCGGCACUGGGAGCUUUCGGCUGGUACUGCGGGAGGAGCUCCCGGGUGACCCGCGGGUUCUGAAACCGCCGCUCGGGAGCUCGGGGCCUGCGCGGCGUCUACGGGGCGAGCGAGGGAGAACUGACGCCUUUCGCUCGGAUCCUUCUCCCCUUCCGAGAACCAGUGGGCUCUGCGCUCGCGUUAACAAUUCGAAUGGGCACGUUUCUGAGUUUAAGAACGCUGUUCGCUUCCUCACACUUAGAUUGAGGUGGAACUCACGUCACAUAAACCGGGUCGCAAGGCUCAGCUCAGCGGGGCCCCCCCACAGUGUUGCGGGACCAGCACCUUCUCGAGCUCCGGAACAGCUUCUACCCGCGCAGAGCCCGGCCCGUCGGCGGCCGCUCUCCGCGCCCCUCCCGGGCCCUGCAGCCCCCGCCCUGCUCCGCGGAGCAGCCUGUUCUGACCUCCGUUCCAUGGAGCCCUACGUGCUGUGGCUUCUGUGUUCCGGCGCCUUUCGCUUAGAAUCGCGUCUUAAAGGUUCGUCCGCGGUGGAGCGGGGAUCAGGCCCGUGUUCCUUUUCAGGAGUGAAUAAUAUUCCCUGGUAUGGAGACUGCGCUGAGAUAGGACCUGGGCCACCCCCUCUGAUUAUUUCCCGCCCACCCCUUCACUGGCGCCAGCCCCACGGAGACCUCGCAGGUGCCGUGAGAAAGUGGAGAUGAGCAGAGUCUGGACGCAUGCGCGGGGCCGGGAGGUGCCGGCCGCAGCCUGCGCCGUCUCCUAAUGCGGAAAUCUGCACCCAGGGCGGAACUCGCCGGUGUCUUCCGCGCGCGCACUGCACGUGUCGGCAUCCUUUCUAGUGCGCCUGCGCAGCCAGCACCGCCUGCACCUGCGCUGACGCUCGCUGACAGCAGUACCCUCCUGGGAAGCCACGCAGGACCCGUCUUCGGGAGCCCGAGAGCCUCCUUCCCGGGCGCCAGUCUUAAUAAACUUUGUAUGUGUGUGAUGGAGCCUCGCUCUUUUGCCCAGGCUCACUGCAAACUCCGCCUCUCGGGUUCAGGCAAUUCUCCCGCCUCAGCCUCCCUAGUAGCCGGGACUACAGGUGCCCGCCACCACAUCCUGCAAAUUUUUUUUUUUUUUUUUUUUGGUAGAGAUGGGGUUUCACCAUGUUGCCCAAGCUGGUCUCGAACUCCUGACCUCAGGUGAUCCGCCCGCGUUGGCCUCCCAAAGUGCUGGGAUUACAGGCAUGAGCACCACGCCGGCCUUAAUAGACGUUAUCUGGGAGAAGUUUGUCGGGCCUCUUGUCGGUUUCUGUUGCUUGGCAAGGUAAGAACCUGCAGCAGUAACAGCAUGGAGACUGAUUUCGCUUGUCCCUUUCUCUCUGGAUGGACGCGUGGGUGGUUUCCACUCUGCCUUCUCUGAGGGUGCCACGAGGAACAUUGAGUUCCUAUUUUCAGUUCUUUAGGGUAUAAACCUACGGUUCAAAUCAGGAGGUCCUAUGGUAAUUCUGUGUUUAAAUCUUUGUACCCUUUACUUUUUCUUUUAAAGUACUUUUAAAUUUUAAUAUUUUAAAUGAUGGAAAAAUAUACAUAACAUAAAACCUACCAUUUAAACCAUUUUUAGCUGAACAAUUCAGUGGCAUUGAACUUACGUAACCAUCAUGGUGGUCUAUUUCCAAAUUUUUUCUUCCCAAAAAGAAAGCACGAGGCCGGGCGCGGUGG
rnacentral:lncRNA from 10 species